GAUCGCGUAGAACGGCAGGUAGUACCAUUCCGGCACGAUGUGCGCAGGCGUCACCGCCGGGUUGGCCGGGAUGUAGUUGUCCGGAUCGCCGAGAUAGUUCGGGAUGUAGAAAAUGAACCAGGCGAAGAACAGCAGGAAGCAGGACAUGCCGAACGCGUCCUUGAGGGUCGCGUAAGGCGUGAACGUUCUCGGUCUUCGGCUCGACGCCGGCCGGAUUGUUCUGACCUGCGACGUGCAGCGCCCAGAUGUGCAGCACGACGACGCCGGCGAUCACGAA
rnacentral:misc_RNA from 1 species